CAGAAGAAUUCUUCCUUGACCUGGCACUGAUUACAGCAGGCAUUAGGUUGGUGUCGCGAUGCCUCUCAGGGGUGUAAAGUUUUCACACCCCUGAAAAACAAAGUUGUGCCAAUUUAAGUUUUCAAUGUAGACUGGCCCUUUAGGGUUGACUAAACACAGAGAUGGACUAAAAGCCCUCUUGACCCUAGAUCAGUCUUCCAGCCUGUAGUGAGUCAGGUUGGCCUCUUGCUGACCCAGAAGGGGACGCAUUCCCUAACAUCCCUUGGUGGGCGGUGCCCAAGCACCCCAACCCCACCCACAGGAAGCAGAAAGGCAGGGCUGGGACUAUAAGAGCAGGGGUGGAGCACUCAGUUGGAGCCCAGUGGGCGAGUAAGACGGAUGCUCUCCCCGUGCUCCUGAGGAGAAAGACGCAGCUGCCCCACCCCAGGAGGAAACACUUGAUUGGGGGGCUGCCAGCCCCCGACGACGAGCCAGGGCCACCAUAACCAGACAACUGGCCAGGUCGUUCAAGACCCCUGCCGGGCUCAGGAGAUUGGGCUGUGCCACCUAGACCGCUGCUAGACCCUGACCGGAGACCACGGACACGCUGCCAGAACCUUCGUCCCUGGCAGAGACAGCAGAACAGAGGUGGAGCCAGGGACUUCAACAGAAUUUGGAUCAGGCCCACAUUCAGGAUUGGCAGCAGCAUGGGAAGUGGAUGUAGCGAUGUCAGUGGAACAUUUAGAACCAAACACACCUGUUAAAGGACCAAGAAGGAAAACUGCUGAAAACCCGUCAAGAAACAAAGGAACUAAACUGGGAAGGGCAGUGACCCCAGUACAUCACUUGAUACAGGAUGCUGGAGGGAAGGGGCCAUGCAGUACCAGGAGUUUUGGAGGAAGAGCUGUGCAAAAGUCAGGGCUCAGAGUCAGCAGGGAUGGAGCCUCCGGGGGUAAGGCAGGGCAUGACUUGGGUAUCUGCACCCUCCCACUUUUAGGGUACUUCCGCCAUACCUCAUCCAAAAUUACAGCAGCAAAACUGCAGUGUUUUGAGUGGAGACACAGUCCAAGCCUCUCCACCUUCUUUCACUACUAGAUAAUAAUUCUAGUGAUGACCAUAAGUUAUUUGUGCAAUAUUUUCCAAAUAACUCAAGAUAAAAAUAAAUUCAG